AGUGAACGCUGGCGGCAGGCCUAACACAUGCAAGUCGAACGGCAGCACAGAGGAGCUUGCUCCUUGGGUGGCGAGUGGUGGACGGGUGAGGAAUACAUGGGAAUCUGCCCAAUCGUGGGGGAUAACGUAGGGAAACUUACGCUAAUACCGCAUACGACCUACGGGUGAAAGCGGCGGACCGCAAGGCGUCGCGCGAUUGGAUGAGCCCAUGUCGGAUUAGCUAGUUGGCGGGGUAAAGGCCCGCCAAGGCGACGAUCCGUAGCUAGUCUGAGAGGAUGAUCAGCCAACAUGGAACUGAGACACGGUCCAGACUCCUACGGGAGGCAGCAGUGGGGAAUAUUGGACAAUGGGCGCAAGCCUGAUCCAGCCAUGCCGCGUGAGUGAAGAAGGCCCUCGGGUUGUAAAGCUCUUUUGUCCGGAAAGAAAAGCUUUCGGUUAAUACCCGGAAGUCCUGACGGUACCGGAAGAAUAAGCACCGGCUAACUUCGUGCCAGCAGCCGCCGUAAGAC
rnacentral:rRNA from 1 species